ensembl:lncRNA
UUGUAAUCUAAAGUGUUAACAUACCUGUUUCUAUGUAAAGUAAUGUUGGGCAUUUUACUGCGAUAUUCUGUAAUGAUAAUAUUGUCAGUAAAACUGGACUGUUCAACCCUUGAAAAGGAGGUAGAGAAUAUCUGAUCUUUGUCUUGGUUUGAGCCAUUGACACGACAGAUCUCGUCACAGUUGUUGGUGCAUCCUACAAUGUGAGUAGAGGCCAAUCUUCAAGGCACCUAGUCGACCACAAGUGUCACACAUAAACACACAUUGAACUUUUGGCAUCUUUGUUUGUUUAAUGCAAUGGUCAUUUCAAGGUCAUUUGUGUCCAUGUUGCAUAGUUUCAGAUUGAUUUUGAGGCCAUCCUUAUAAUGUUUGAAUUGCCCUCCCUGAGAGCACCUGCUGCUCUCAAGCUGGUCAUACAAAAAAAAAUAAAAAAUGUUUCUGUAAACAUGAAUCAUGAAAACAUGAAACAUGAAAUGUAUACAAUAUAGCCAGACCAGUGGAACUGAGCAGCAAACAGGAAGGCCUCAAUACCAGUGAUGCCACAGGUCUAGAGUACCUCAGUGUUUGGGACUUUGUCCUGCCAUUUCACGUGUGCAAUACGUCAGAAACAAUGUGUGGCAGGAUAAGUCUUUUAUUGGCUGGUUGAUGUACAGUUGGUUCACCAAUUAAAUGAUAGCGACAGCACUAGCAUCUCAUUGGUUGGUGGGGUUAAAGUUCAUAUACCAAUGAAACGAUAGUAUCUAUACUAUUUAAGGACCUUUAUUAUGGCGGGUGGGUAUGUUUGUGACCUGGGGUGCUUCUCUCUCUCCCUGGCGUUUCCGUUCUGAUUCCUUCCUCAGGUAUGUUUGGCUGUUUGUUGGCGGUGUAACAAUGUGCAUGUUGCGAGUCUAAUAUACGCUAUUUAUAGUUUCAUUUAGAGCGCGUCUGGUGGCGUUGGCAGUGCGGCAACUCGCGGCGUGUUUCGGCUGCAGGGCCAGUGAGGAUCGGGUGGAACUGGGGAGGCUAGCUGCUGUCAUUCUGCAGUGUGUCACAGUGUGCGGUGUGUGUGGAUACAACUUCCCAUUGGUGGGUGUGUGUGACUGUUGCUUUGGUGUGAAUUUAGGUGGGUUUUUGGAUAACCAUUCUGAGUUGCAGCCGGCCUGCCUGGUUCCCACUAAUCCUGGCCCUGGGAAUUACCUCCCUUAUUGUGGAAAUGUCAGCCUAAACAGGGAGGCUUCAGUUCUGAGUGUGGGCCGUCAAUGCAUCUGUCAUCUGCAUACAAGAGGUCAUGCAGAAUUGCGGAGUGUGUCUUUGUGUGAGCCUAGAGUCUGCAUAGACUGAAGACUCUGCCAUCUGUACGGAACUGAAUUGGAAUGCCUACUACAUGUCAUAUUCCUUGAAAGCCGCAGACAGCAUCAUCCAAAAGGUAGAGGUAGAGAAUAUCUAUUCCAUAUGUAAUUUUGCAGUGAGGGACAUGCAUGAAUUCCGUAUAUCUUACUAUUAUAUAAAACUUAAGUAUAUAGCAUAUAUAUAUAUAAUAAUAGGGUGAGUAUAUGGUUGAGUAGUAUCCCUGUGGCUUUGAGGACAUUGUA